GAUGAACGCUAGCUACAGGCUUAACACAUGCAAGUCGAGGGGAAACGACAUCGAAAGCUUGCUUUUGAUGGGCGUCGACCGGCGCACGGGUGAGUAACGCGUAUCCAACCUGCCCACCACUUGGGGAUAACCUUGCGAAAGUAAGACUAAUACCCAAUGACGUCUCUAGAAGACAUCUGAAAGAGAUUAAAGAUUUAUCGGUGAUGGAUGGGGAUGCGUCUGAUUAGCUUGUUGGCGGGGUAACGGCCCACCAAGGCAACGAUCAGUAGGGGUUCUGAGAGGAAGGUCCCCCACAUUGGAACUGAGACACGGUCCAAACUCCUACGGGAGGCAGCAGUGAGGAAUAUUGGUCAAUGGACGAGAGUCUGAGCCAGCCAAGUAGCGUGCAGGAUGACGGCCCUAUGGGUUGUAAACUGCUUUUAUAAGGGAAUAAAGUGAGCCUCGUGAGGCUUUUUGCAUGUACCUUAUGAAUAAGGACCGGCUAAUUCCGUGCCAGCAGCCGCGGUAAUACGGAAGGUCCGGGCGUUAUCCGGAUUUAUUGGGUUUAAAGGGAGCGUAGGCCGGAGAUUAAGCGUGUUGUGAAAUGUAGACGCUCAACGUCUGCACUGCAGCGCGAACUGGUUUCCUUGAGUACGCACAAAGUGGGCGGAAUUCGUGGUGUAGCGGUGAAAUGCUUAGAUAUCACGAAGAACUCCGAUUGCGAAGGCAGCUCACUGGAGCGCAACUGACGCUGAAGCUCGAAAGUGCGGG
rnacentral:rRNA from 1 species